GCGUUGGUGGUGUAGCGCUGAGCGUAGGUGCCUUCCAAGCAGUUGACCGGGUUCGAAUCCCAGCCAACGCA
rnacentral:tRNA from 1 species